rnacentral:lncRNA from 1 species
AACAAAUUGAAUUAAAGUAUACAAGGAAGUGUUUCCAGAGAAUUUAAGAUCCAGAGCCGCCUCUCUCCUCAGCUUGCUGUUCAUGUUUUCUCAGUAUGACAAAGAAAGUAUAGGAGAGAUGAAGAACAUGAUGUCCUGCAUGAUCCAUAGGAAGCUCUUUGUGCAGGCCAUGUGGGGCCUCAGAGAUGGCUGGACCUGGGGACAGGGAAUGAAGAGAAGAGAGUGGUCUUGCCCCUGAAAUGGAGGCAGAAAAUUAUGUUCACUAGAGAGUUUUAAACCAUUCCCUUUGUUGCUAUUGAUUUGGACUGUGUGAUUCUUGGAGAUACUGUAGAAUGCCACCAAAAGCCAGUGACUAAGGCAACAAGUCCCACCAGUUGAAAUGACCCUUAAAUGAAAGCCCUAAGGAGAUCCGCCUCACACCUAGUUGGUCUCUCCUCUGGGAACAGCAUACUAGUUCCCUGGGACAAGCACUUGAUGCAACGUUUAUCUUACAUCAAGAGAUAAUGUGCAGAGAAAGUACACCUUUAGCACAGCUCCACAUGGCACAGCCAGAUGCCAACUGAAGAUGGACAGGUGACAGAGUCCCUGGGAGAAGUCAUAUUAGCCACAUCUCUCCCUUACCAUCACC